AAAAUAACUGUUGUGGAAAAUUCUUGCUCAAAAAGGCCGAGAUCAACUAGCACUUCCAUGCAAUGACUGUUCUCCAGACUAGAUGGAUUAACGGACCAUAAGAAUUAAACCAGAUUUUAAGGCAUCUUAUUACAGUACAGAACCAGCAAACUGAAGAAACUUCUAUGAAGACCUUGAAAGAAACCUUUCCCUCCUUCUUCAACAAUUUCUGGAAAACAAAACACACACAAAAAUCCCAACUUGACAACCACACAAUAAAAUGCAAAUUUUUAGUGACCAUCUACUUUUCAAGGCACUGUCUUUGGGUGCUUCUUUUUA